AUGUAUGUGUGCAUGUAUGCAUGUGUGUGUAUGCAUGCAUGUGUUUGAAUGUGUGUGUGU
rnacentral:miRNA from 10 species